CAAGCUCUGACUGCAGUUGCCCUGGAAUGGACCGGUUCUGAAUAGCUCCCAGCCUGCCAGGAUCCUGAGCAGCUACAGCGAGCUGACGGCCUGUAAGGCAGCCUGUUAGAUGAAUGAGAUGGCUCUCCCUCUCCUCUUCUCUCAUGCUGCAUUUUCCUUCCAAAGGCCCAGCAUAUUUCAGGUGGAGGUGCCAAUCAGUGCCAGUGAUGAGACCAGAUGCGUCCAUAAGGUAGGAAGUGGGAACCUGCAAAUUGCUCUCAGAGAGGCUGAGCAGCUGUUGGACUGUGGAGGUCUCUGGCCCUUUCUGACCUGGGCCAUUGACCUACAAGUGAAAAGCGUGAAAUCUCCGUGCCAGCAGAGCGCUGUAAGGUGUCCAUGAGCAUGGUCAUGAUGGGUCUGCAGCCCAGGGAGAUGUGGAGCAGCUACCAGCAGCUUUUGUGCAGCCCGGUGGUGGCAAGAGCACUUGUACAGCCUCAUAGUUACCAGAGGGAAGGUCUUUGUUUCUCUCCACAAUGCUUACAGGAACGAAUGCAAUGAAUUCCCUCGUGCUUUGGCAUUGCUGUUUCUUCCUGCACUUUUAUGGGAGAACAUAGUAGCACACAUAAACACAGGGCCCGUUUCUCGAGCGUGUCUGGGAGCUCUUCAGAUACAGUCCCAACCCUGCGCCUGCCGGGAACGGGAAGGGCCGUGACAAUGCCGAUGACG